rnacentral:rRNA from 1 species
ACGUCACACUGCCGAGAAAAGCUUCUAGUGAGUCAUCAACUACCCGUACCGCAAACCGACACAGGUAGUCGAGGAGAGAAUCCUCAGGUGAGCGAGUGAACUCUCGUUAAGGAACUCGGCAAAAUGACCCCGUAACUUCGGGAGAAGGGGUGCUGUGCGCAAGCACAGCCGCAGUGAAAAGGCCCAGGCGACUGUUUAUCAAAAACACAGGUUUCUGCAAAAUCGUAAGAUGACGUAUAGGGGCUGACGCCUGCCCGGUGCUGGAAGGUUAAGUGGAUGAGUUAGCUUCGGCGAAGCCCAGAAAUGAAGCCCCAGUAAACGGCGGCCGUAACUAUAACGGUCCUAAGGUAGCGAAAUUCCUUGUCGGGUAAGUUCCGACCCGCACGAAAGGCGUAACGAUCUGGGCACUGUCUCAACGAGAGACUCGGUGAAAUUAAGAUACCUGUGAAGAAGCAGGUUACCCGCGACAGGACGGAAAGACCCCAUGGAGCUUUACUGUAGCUUGAUAUUGGGUGUUGACACAGCUUGUACAGGAUAGGUAGGAGCCAUUGAAGCCGGAACGCUAGUUUCGGCAGAGGCGUUGGUGGGAUACUACCCUCGCUGUGUGAACACUCUAACCCGCGCCACU